AUAAAGGCAUGUCAUCUAAAAGAAACACUAGUAAAUGAACAAGCUAAUAUACACCAGAAAGUGCUAGGAGGUGAAGUAUUUUUCAAAGCAGUGGCUAGCUUCAGAAUCAUAAAUUUAGCAAUUACUACAGAGAUCUGUAUUAUACUAAAAGAUAAUUAGAUAAUUAAUAGUCAGAAGGAAUGUCCAGUCUUGAGUUAGCAACUGAUGUUCAAAUUAAUGGCAAGGGACACUUUUGAAACAAUUUUAAUUUUAUAUUUUGGCUUUGCAUAUAAGCCAAGUAGUAGAUAAGAUGAAAAUGCAUUGAUGAGAACUGAUGAUGAUCAUUAACUGAAAAAAAAUCUUAAACAGAAUUUCAAGAAUUUUUAUAAUAAAAAAUAAUGUGUCUAUAUAUCUGCACAUUUAUAUAUGGGGGACAGAAGGAUCUAGAAAGACUGUCACUAAGAUGUUAACAGUGAUAAUCACUUUCCGGCAGUGUGUCAUGUUUUUAUUUUGCUAUUUCAUUUUCUAACUUUCUAAAACAUCAGUGCAUAACUUAUAUUAGCAAAAAUAGACGUAAAAUAUUUUAAAUGAAUACAGAGUAACUUAGUUAUAUUUAUUGAGUUAGGAUAAAAGCUUUUUUCCUGAUUAAAAAAAAAACACGAAGUGUUUUUGCUCAGGAACAUGAAGCAGUAGCAUGAUGAUUAUGAGUCUGUGGAAGGAUCACGUCACAAGAAGGUGCAGACGGGGAAUGAAAAAGCCUCAUCCCUUUGCGACGUCAAAGCGACGAUGGGCACCAGGCUUCUCAGCUGUGCAGCCCUGUGUCUCCUGGCAGCAGGCUCUUUUCAUGCCAAAGUCACACAGACGCCAGGAUAUUUGGUCAAAAGAAAAGGACAGAAAACAGAGAUGGAUUGUACCCCCGAAAAAGGACAUACUUUUGUUUAUUGGUAUCAACAGAAGCAGAAUAAAGACUUGAUGUUUUUGAUUUCCUUUCAGAAUGAACAAAUUCUUGAAGAAACGGAGAUGCACAAGAAGCGAUUCUUAUCUCAAUGCCCCAAGAACUCACCCUGCAGCCUGGCAAUCCUGUCCUCGGACCCAGGAGACAGGGCCCUGUAUCUCUGUGCCAGCAGUCAAUCCACAGCACUGAAAUGUCAGUUCCUCUCAGCACACAAACUUGUCAUAGACCCAGCUCAGGAAGCAGGUGAUGUAUUAGGUUGCAAGGGAGUAACAGAAAAUAACUGAAGCCAGCUUAAGCCACAGUGGAAUUCAACAAAAGGAUCAAGGGUGUUUAGCAGAAGUCAAGAAGUGAUGGGCAGACAAUUCUGAAAAGGCACCAGUAGGGUGGGGCUCUAGAAUGGCUAUCUCUCCAGCUCUGAUUUUUCUUCAGUUUUGGCUGUUGCAUGCUUUUCUCUCCCUGCACACCAUCUCUUUGUGGUGAGAAUGAGAUGGUCACUAAAGGUUAUAAAUUCAGUUGCCAUCAUUUCCCUACACUAACAAACACCAUCCCGGCUCUUUCUAAGCCUGAGUUCAAAAUACCAGGAGAAAAAAACAGAUGGGUCAUAACUCAGCCAUGAACCUUCUCAUAGAGCACUCAAUGGUUGGCGUGUAUGUAAUGUAUUUAAAAAUCACGUAAAUGUCACUUUUCCACUCAGCCCAAGCAAGCGAAAUGCUGUUUUUCUGUAUGUACAUUCAGUCUGUUGCUUCUAUAUGAUAGAUAGUACUAUGUUCAUUCUUCAGAAAUACAUACGCAGUUUUUCUCCCAUUUCCUGCCAGAAAAAAAUCUUUGUCCUGGGCUUGCCAACCCCCAGAUCCAAGCUUGCUCUAUUUAUUUAUUUAUUUAUUUAUUUAUUUAUUUAUUUAUUUAUUUAUUUAUUUAUUUAAGGUCUUUCCUGGACUCUGUCAAUCGUUUCUGUUUCUUUCUCUUCAGGCUCUUUUCAUGCCAAAGUCACACAGAGUCCAGGAUAUUUGGUCAAAGGAAAAAUUUGAAAAUUCUUGUAUAAAUACCUUCAUAGACUUGUAUAAUUGCUUUAUAGGAUUAUACACCCAGAGUGAGUCACGAUUGCCGAGAUAUGCAAUAGUAUGCAUAUUUUAUGUAUCUAAAUACCACCACGGGGUUCUUCAGGAUCACUGUAUAAAUCUGCAAUCCCAUAUAAAAGUGAAUAAGGUUACCUCCUACAUCCUAUUACUUCCUUUAAUCAUUAUCCAGUGAUCUAGAUUGUUCUCAGUUUAGCAAUGUAGAGAUUCCAGCCUCUUCCCCCUACACACAGCCAGAAUAUCACCAGUGUUAACCAUAAAGAUACAGGUGACAAUUUUUUAAGUAAAUAAAACCAAUGAUUUAAAGAAACUAGAUUAUUUCCUACCACUAUAAUAAUAACUGGCAACAAUCUAGAAAGCUAAAUAAUGUUCUCUCCCUCCUUUUCCUUCCAUUGUAUUUUCCUAAUUGCUAAUGAGUUUGAGCAUAUCUUCACAUGAUAGUGGUCCUGGAUUUCUUUUCUCAAAAUGGCCUAUCCAUAUCCUCUGGCAAAUUCUCUAUUGAGAGUUCUGUAUUUUCCUCAACAAUUUGUAGGAGGUCCUAAGAUAUACAACAUAUUAGUCACCUUUUUAAAAUUUUAGGCACUGGAAAUACCACCAUCCAAAAUGGUACCACCCCUGUUCCAGACUUCAAAGAAUCAGUCGAUGUGGGAAGAAGCAGCUGGUCUCUUAACUUAGCAGGUGGAUGUGUGUUAUCUCUAUUAUGUGAAUGAGACAUCUGUCUUUCACGUCCCCUCUCCUGAGUGUCCGACAUGCUGUCCCCUCCAUUAUUAUUAAUGUCUUUAAACAGCAUAGAAAAGUUACCUGCUAUGGCUGUCCCUAAACUCUAUCACCCAUCGACACCCUUUUCAUCCAGAACUGCUGAAAAAAUGUUUUGCUCCAUUCAGCUACGCUUUUUUACUAUCUGGGGUAAACGUGAUUCAAAUUACUUUUUAUUGCUCUUUUCUAAGUGGAUUAUGCUGCCUGGUUAUAGCCAAGGACAGAAAAACUUCACACAUCUUUUCUGAAGACUUAAUCCUUGCCCACACAUUAUCUCCUUUAGGGCCAAGUUCCCUACUGCAAACACCAGUGUCCUUAAGCUCUUGAUAUGACAGCUGAUUCGUUUUGACUCCACAGAUGCUUGCAGAGCUACUCCCAUUCACUGAUACAUAAAAGCAUUGAGAAACUUUCAGCUACACUACAUGGAAUUUUGGUCUCUGGGGAAAGUGAGAAGAGCAAAAAUAACCAUAAAAAAUGUGUUUCAAAUAAUG